UGUGGCAGUCCCUCCAGGGGACCAGACUCACCGUCACCCCCGCUGCCAAGAGGACCACCGAGGGCCCCAUCACCACUGCCCCCACCACCACUGGCCUCAGUGUCUUGGAAGACCCUAGGAGCUCAGCGUCCUCACCCCUGAGUGGGGGAGCUGCAGUUGGGGUGGCACUGGCUGGUGCUGUGCUCAUAAUUGCAAUUUUGGGACUGAUACUCUACCUCAGGUGGAAGAGAAGAAAAGAGGAAAAAUCACAGCGGUUGUCUCUAGAGUGAGGAUGAGGGUCAGAGAUGAAGAGCUGUGAUAGUCACUGAGGGAAUGGAAGAUGGUGUUUCAGGAUUCCACCCAGAUGAGAAGCCAGCGCUCUGUAACAGCUUCGCUGCCCGUGAUGUUUCCCCUCGCAGUAUUCAACCAUGCAGGUUUAGAAACUUCUAGAACUUGUUGGUUAGAAGUUAUGUUCCUCUGCUGGCACCAGAGACCAAAAUAACAGGGUUUACAUAAGAGUUUCUUGUUUCCCCUCGUAUAAAAGGAUGAGGAGGCGGAUGGCAGAGGCCACUGUCCUCAGGCACUCAGGCUUCCAUCUUCCUGCUCACUGUCCUGGCUACCGGCUUCUACCCUGAAGGUUGCCUCAUGAUCCAAGAUGGCUGCUCAGACUGCAGCCAUUAUUUCUGAAUCCAGGCAGGAAACAGGAGGAAGGAAGAAAGGACAAAAAGACCACAACUUCCCCUUGAAUCGUAUUGGUGAGGAUGUAGUCAUAUGUCCCACAUCUAUCAGGAGGGGAGCACACUGCUGCCCCAAAUAAAAUCAAGGUUCUGUAACUGAGUAAGAAGAAAUGAAUGGAUAUUGGGUAAGCAAAUAGCACCCCCACCAUAGGCCACAGCCAGAAUUAAAGAUGUGUCAGCUAAGUGUGGCAUAAGGACAGGGGAACAGGAGAGUUCAAGGAGCUCGUGAGAGGGGAGUGGAGAGUAGAGGAUCAGCGGGGAGCUUGGACAGCCCGAAAGAAAGUGGAUUAUUAAGGCACGAGAGUUCAUGGGGUCAACGCACAGGUAUAGCAAGCAGGAUGAUGGUAAGAGAAAGCUGGAAGGAAAGAAAGUUGUAGCAUAAAAAUGAUGCUGGAAUUUAUUAUUUCAGAGUUCUCAGUCCCAGAGAUUAAAAA